rnacentral:lncRNA from 1 species
AGGAUUUGGGCCUUGCACGAGGAUUUGGGCCUUGCACGAGGAUUGGGCCUUUCACAAGGAUUUGGGCCUUGCACGAGUAUCAGGCCUUGCACGAGGAUCGGGCCUUGAACGAGGAUCGGGCCUUGAACGAGGAUCGGGCCUUGCAUGAGGACAAUCCUUGCACGAGCAUCGAACCUUGCACGAGGAUUUGGGCCUUGCACGAGGAUUUGGGCCUUGCACGAGGAUUUGGGCCUUGCACGAGUAUCGGGCCUUGAACGAGGAUUUGGGCCUUGCACGAGGAUUUGGGCCUUGCACAAGGAUUUGGGCCUUGCACGAGGACAAUCCUUGCACGAGGAUUUGGGCCUUGCACGAGGAUUUGGGCCUUGCACGAGGCCGGUGCUCACACCUGGGCACGCUCCCCGCUCGUGCCAGGCCAGCCCCGGGACUGAGCGUGAGUGUGAGCGUGAGUGUGAGUGUGAGCAGGGCUGGGGGCUCA